GUAUACUCAACGACUAUAGAGACCUUCAAAAAUACGAAGGCCUACAGUAAUAUGAAGGCUUCUGUACUUUUGAAAUGACAGAAAACAUAUUAUAUAUAGAGAGAGAGAGAGAGAAUUCGGUUACUAUACUAUUGAUAGUACUAAGCUCUUGUUACUAUCAAAUUUUCUGCAAUUAGAUUUACGCUUCAAUUAUUUUCACCUGUUUGAUUAUACUAUUCAACUAACCACCCACUCAACCUAGAAGACCACUAUUAUACUAACCAUACAUCUUUUCAUCUAAAGACUAAAAACUUGAUAAUACAAUCAUUUGGUACUAUCUAUAGAAUAGUAACAUAAUUUUCUAUUUAUUAUAUAUAGAAAAAACUUCAAAAAACCUCCAUAUAGUUUCGCACUUUUUCAUUUUAAUACCAUAUGGUUUAAAGUGUAUCAAGUUAGUACCCUAUGGUUUCGCACUUUCUCACUUUAGUGCCGUAUGGUUUAAAGUUUAGUAUUCUGUGGUUUUAUUUUUGUAUCAAUUUAGUAUUCUGUGGUUUUAUUUUUGUAGCAAGUUAGUACCCUGUGAUUUUAUUUUUCUCUUAAUGAAAUAUUAAGCCGCAGGGUACUAAAGUGAGAAAAUGUGAAACCACAGGGUACAAAUUUGAUACACUUUAAACGACAGAAUACUAAAGUGAGAAAGUGCGAAACUAUAGGGUACUAACUUGAUACACUUUAAACGACAGGAUACUAAAGUAAGAAAGAGUGAAACCACAAGAGGGAUCUUUGAAGUUUUUCCAUAUAUAUACACACUCAAGUUUUGAAGAUGAAUUUUAAAACCUAGACAGU
rnacentral:lncRNA from 1 species